UGGCGGCAUGCCUAACACAUGCAAGUCGAACGAGACCUUCGGGUCUAGUGGCGCACGGGUGCGUAACGCGUGGGAACCUGCCUUUAGGUUCGGAAUAACUCAGAGAAAUUUGAGCUAAUACCGGAUAAUGUCUUCGGACCAAAGAUUUAUCGCCUUUAGAUGGGCCCGCGUUGGAUUAGCUAGUUGGUGGGGUAAAGGCCUACCAAGGCGACGAUCCAUAGCUGGUCUGAGAGGAUGAUCAGCCACACUGGGACUGAGACACGGCCCAGACUCCUACGGGAGGCAGCAGUGGGGAAUAUUGGACAAUGGGCGAAAGCCUGAUCCAGCAAUGCCGCGUGAGUGAUGAAGGCCUUAGGGUUGUAAAGCUCUUUUACCCGAGAUGAUAAUGACAGUAUCGGGAGAAUAAGCUCCGGCUAACUCCGUG
rnacentral:rRNA from 1 species